rnacentral:rRNA from 1 species
CCCGCUCAGAAACUCAAAGGAAGUUGACGGGGCCCGGCACAAGCGGAGGAGCAUGUGGUUUAAUUCGAUGAUACGCGAGGAACCUUACCUGGGCUCGAACGUAAGAUGACUGUAGGUGAAAGCUUACAUCUCUUCGGAGCAUUUUACGAGGUGCUGCAUGGUUGUCGUCAGCUCGUGCCGUGAGGUGUCGGGUUAAGUCCCAUAACGAGCGCAACCCUACCUUUAGUUGCCAUCAGGUAAUGCUGGGGACUCUAAAGGAACUGCCUACGCAAGUAGUGAGGAAGGCGGGGAUGACGUCAAAUCAGCACGGCCCUUACGUCCAGGGCUACACACGUGCUACAAUGGCCGAUACAGAGGGCAGCUACCUGGUGACAGGAUGCAAAUCUCCAAAGUCGGUCUCAGUUCGGAUCGGAGUCUGCAACCCGACUCCGUGAAGUUGGAAUCGCUAGUAAUCGUGGAUCAGCAUGCCACGGUGAAUACGUUCCCGGGCCUU